AUUGAACGCUGGCGGCAGGCUUAACACAUGCAAGUCGAGCGGGGAAGGGUAGCUUGCUACCUGACCUAGCGGCGGACGGGUGAGUAAUGCUUAGGAAUCUGCCUAUUAGUGGGGGACAACAUUCCGAAAGGAAUGCUAAUACCGCAUACGCCCUACGGGGGAAAGCAGGGGAUCUUCGGACCUUGCGCUAAUAGAUGAGCCUAAGUCAGAUUAGCUAGUUGGUGGGGUAAAGGCCUACCAAGGCGACGAUCUGUAGCGGGUCUGAGAGGAUGAUCCGCCACACUGGGACUGAGACACGGCCCAGACUCCUACGGGAGGCAGCAGUGGGGAAUAUUGGACAAUGGGCGCAAGCCUGAUCCAGCCAUGCCGCGUGUGUGAAGAAGGCCUUUUGGUUGCAAAGCACUCUAAGCGAGGAGGAGGCUACUUGGAUUAAUACUCUAGGAUAGUGGACGUUACUCGCAGAAUAAGCACCGGCUAACUCUGUGCCAGCAGCCGCGGUAAUACAGAGGGUGCGAGCGUUAAUCGGAUUUACUGGGCGUAAAGCGUGCGUAGGCGGCUUUUUAAGUCGGAUGUGAAAUCCCUGAGCUUAACUUAGGAAUUGCAUUCGAUACUGGGAAGCUAGAGUAUGGGAGAGGAUGGUAGAAUUCCAGGUGUAGCGGUGAAAUGCGUAGAGAUCUGGAGGAAUACCGAUGGCGAAGGCAGCCAUCUGGCCUAAUACUGACGCUGAGGUACGAAAGCAUGGGGAGCAAACAGG
rnacentral:rRNA from 1 species